ACUUUCCUGUAAUAUGCGUAAUGGAAUUCUGUUUUGAGGCCUACAAAUUUUUGCAAGGAAAGUUGAUUCAAGGCUUGUUCUUGGUCGCUUAUCUGCCUGUUUUUAAACAGGCCUGCAAAACCUUUUCAUACGGUAUUAUGGGACUUUU
rnacentral:other from 1 species